rnacentral:rRNA from 1 species
UACGUAGGUGGCAAGCGAUACUCGGAAUCACUAGGCGUAAAGCGCAGGUAGGCGGUUCGGUAAGUCUUUUGUGAAACCUCCAGGCUCAACCUGGAGACGCCACCUGAUACUGCUGUGGCUAGAGUCCGGUAGGGGAGCGUGGAAUUCCUGGUGUAGCGGUGAAAUGCGCAGAUAUCAGGAGGAACACCAGCGGCGAAGGCGGCGCUCUGGGCCGGAACUGACGCUGAGGAGCGAAAGCGUGGGUAGCAAACAGG